UUGUAGGUGUGGAAGUGAAGCAACGAGAGAUCCUUCACGUUGCCAAGCUCCAGGCGGUGGAAGAGGAUGUUCGCCUUGGUUUCCGUACUGUAGUAGGGCAAGUAUGGAGGAGUGGGAGCAGGGUUUGAGUUUGUUAAAAUCCCAGGUUCUAGAGCACAUAACAAAUACAAAUGCUUUAGAAUGUUCACGAGAGAUCAGAGGAUGCUUUCAUCUCUUUCAGUCCCAGGCAGGAGGAUGAGGGUGAACAGUCGGGAUCAGUCUUACUUGUUAAGCCUGGCGGAGGUGGCACACACCUUUAAUCCUAGCACUUGGGAGGCAAAGGCAGACGGAUCUUUACAGACCUGGGAGUUAGAAGACAGGUCUUUCAGCCAAGAAGGGAAGAACUGAACUGUGGACUGAAGAAGGGAAUCUAGAAGCAUCAUCAGCUUCUUAGGGGGAGAUAAUUGCUUGUUUCGAGGAGCUGUCAUAUACACUGUAUGGUGUUUAAAGACAUUGCUAGCUCUACCUACUAGCUGUCAGGGGCAUUGCCUCUCAUCCUCAGUGUCCCAUCUCCAGACAUGAGCUGUUGUUCUUAAAGAGGCAGAACCAUUAUUUAAAACUAACCUAAUUAAAUUAAGUAGCCAAGAUACUAUGCCUUGAGUUUAUCUGCUGAUACAGACUGUACCUCAACAUCCCCCUCAACGAUUAAAGUAUAGUAAUUCUGUAACUGUGGGCUAUUGGUUUCAAAACCUCCCGCAGAUAACAAAAUACAUGCAUGCUCCAGUCCCUUAUGUAAAAUGUCACAGUAGUCACAUUCCCCCAGGCAUAUCCUCCCACGGUUGAUUUUUCAGGCAUGCCCAAGCUUCAGACAUUGAACCAUGAGAUCAUCAUCUAUGAAGUUCAUGCUUGAGAACAAUGCACAAAUGAGCUACAAAAAAGUGCACAAGCCACCCUCAUAAUGUUUUAGCUAAUUUUACAGUUUGUGUGUUGAACCACAUUAAUAGUUAUCCUCCGCUUCAGGCAGCUGUUGUCCACAGGUUUCACAUGCCUGUUAUACUAGAUAAUAAAAAUGUGGUCUAAAUAAUUACUAAGGGAACAGUGAAAAAAAUUUGUGCAUGUUUUUUACAUGUGUGUAUGUAUGUGUGUGGUAUGCCUCAUGUGUAUGUGUCCUCAUGUGUGUGGGCAGGUGUGUAUGCAUGCACAUUGUGGAGACCCGGGGUUGACUUUGGGUGUCUGCCUUCAUUGCUCUCUACUUUAUAUAUUGAGUCAGUGUCUCUCAUUGAGCUUGGACUCACUGUUCUGCUAGUCUAUUUAGCUAGCUUGCUCUGACUCCACCCUGUGUGCUGGAAUUCAAGGCUGGCCACCAUGCCUAGCUGGCUUUCACGUGGUCCUGGAGAUCACAACUCUGCUCCUUACAUUUUCAUAGCAAGUGUUUUACAUACUCAGUGAUUUCCUUGGCCAGUCUUUUUUUUUUUUUUUUCCCCCUGAGACAGGGUUUCCCCAUGUAGUCCUGACUGUCCUGGAAAUUGCUCUGUAGACUAGGUUGACCUUGGACUCAGAGAUCUGCCUGCCUCUGACUCCCAAGUGCUAGGAUUAAAGGCAUGUCCCACCACCAGCUGGCUAUUUUUUAAAAUUCUAUUUUUGAUCAAGGCUUGGUUGAAUCUGUGGAUGUAGAACCCUUAGAUAUGGAGGUGAGUGUAUGUUUGUUUUUAAAGCAAUGAGAUCAAACUGCCAAACUUAUGCUCUUCUACAGGUGAGGAGCAUCAGGAAAAAAAUAUGAGGGAAAUCAUGAUCUCAAGAAAAGAGACUUUGAAGAAACACCCCAGAUCGUUAAAAUACUACCGGUAGAGUAGUAAUUGAAGCAGAAACGUCUCAAGUCCCUCCCUUUUAUAAGCAAGGCCCCAUGGCAUGUACAAUGGCGCUAUAGUUUUGCAAGGGCAUUUGUCUUUGCCUAUGGCAUCUGAAGUCACUUCUUUAGCUAAUUCAUCACGACAGCCGGGGCCACCCAUUCAGAAACGUCUGAUGAAAAAUGUCUCUCAGAAAGUGAGACAAGUCCAAGCAUCCAGAUGAUGGGAUUUUGAACCUCUCCUGAAAGGGAGGCGACUUGUCUAUUUCAAAGUCACUAGAACAGGGGAUUCGAAUGCUUUUAUUGUAAGGAAAUAAUAAACAUUUGAGGUUAAUGAUGCACUAAAUCCUCUGAUUAUAUCAUUACACAAUGUAUGCAUGCAUUAAAGCAUCACUUGGUGUCCCACAAAUAUGUAUAAUUAUGUACAGCUUAGGAGAGUCUGUGGGUGAUGAGAAGGCAGAUGGCUUGAAGGAGAAAUAUAUUAUCACAGUGGUUUUCUGGUGAAAGACAAGCCAUUAAAAAAAAAAUGAAAGCACAGAGUAAAUCUGUCAAACAACUGGUAUUUUGACCAUUCUUUUAUUUCAGAUCCGCAAUUGCCAUUUAAACCUAGAAAAGGAAUAUAAUGAUGGAUGUGAAUCUCUGAGAGAACGCCACAGGAACUUAAUGAAUUUUUAAUCUUCUACUGAAAAAAAAAGUGUUCAUCAAGGAGAAAUCAUUACUGGCCACUGUAGUGGACAUUUGCUCUUUUAUGUUUGGAAAAUUUGAAAGGGAGGAAAGCAAGCUUGUCUCCAGCCACAGAAGACUAAAAUGACAACUCCAUCCUAUUCCAGCUUCUGUCUGAUGUGCCUGUCUGAUGGAGCCGGUGAUACGGGGACUGUGCGAACUGCAGUGUGAGGGGGUGGCAGCUGGCUCUGUGCAGCAGGUGGGAGCAGGGUGUUGGUGGAACAAGCCUUAGGCCGUGGUGACACCAGUGGGGGGUCUCUACCCCUCUGUCCAGCUCUCACAGGAAUUCUCUAACCAACCCCCCCUUUAAAAAUACUUUCCAUUUUUUUAGUUAAGUCAAUCAGCAAAAGGUUGCAUUGCUUCUAAGAACCCAGGGUGACAAGAUCGUGUUUGGGAAAGUUACUUUAACAGUAACAGAAUCAGAAAAUUAAAUUUCGCCAUAGCCGUAGUAAUACUAAUGAGAGUUAAUGCGCCGUGAAGGCCUACUUUGUGCCAUACCUGCUAAGCAUGCAUCUCAUUCAUUAACUCACCAAGUACACAGCUGGUAUAGAAACACAUGGCUAAGUACAAGCAUUCUGACAUCAGGGACCAUGCACCUAACAGUUGCCAAGUAAAGAUCAGCCUAUUUUGCUAGGAAUCUUUAGAUUUUUGCAGUGGUUUGAAUAAGUAUGACCCCCCAUAUAUUCAUGUGUUUAAAAGCUUGGCCCACAGGGAGUGGCACUAUCAGGAGGUGUGACUUUGCAGGAGUAGGUGUGGCCUUGUUGAAAGAAGUGUGUCACUGUGGGGGCCGCCUUUACGGUCUCAUGUGCUCAAACUAUACCCAGUGUGGGUGACAGUUUCCUUUCUGUUGCUUGCAGAUCAACAGGUAGAACUCUUAGCCACUUCUCCAGUACCACAUCUGCUGGCAUGCUGCCUUGCUUCCUGCCAUGACAAAAAUGGACUAAACCUCUGAGACUCAAGCUAUCAUGAAACGAGCUUCCAUGUUGGAGGAGCAAGGAGCCAAGGACUGCUCCCAGCUACCCCCAAAACUAGAGGACCUCAAUGGGACAGUAGUGAAGAUCCGGACUCUGUCACCAAUGAUGUGAGAAUGAAGCAGGUCCUCCCUCAGUCAAGCCUUCAGAUGGAACCCAAGAUCUCCUCAACACUUUGAGACUUGUGAGCCACACUGAAAUGCCACCUGCUAAGCCAUACCUAGGAUUCUUGGCCCACAGAAACUGCAAGGAACUCGGCUUCAGUUGGGCCAGACUCUCCGGGCGAACCACGAACCAAGAGAAACCCUUCUCAUCUAAGCUGCUUCAUGUCAGAUAUGGCAAAAGUAACUAACGAACAAACAAGAGUUUCCAGCGCCUAGGACACGGUUAGCAUCAGCGAGGAGGAGGCUCAAUCCCUCCGACUCUCAAAGUAAAAAUCGGUCUCCUUUCAUUUUGAGAUUAAUUCUUCCUCAGUUACAUAAAAUUCACCAUGGCUGGAGCAGUUGCUGAGUGCCGGGAACUCUACCGGGCCUCGCAGAGAAUUUCAGCAAAGACCUGCAAAGGCGUCCGAAGCCCAUUUGCAUGUGCUGCCCUGCUAAAAGCCGAACAAAGGAUCACUUACACCACCGCCACGGCGACUUUCCUGCAUAAUAGGGGGAAGUGCUGGCAGCCGCUGAGAUGCCUGCGUGGGGCGUGCGCCUCCGUCCUCACGGAGUUGUGUCUUUGUGGGGGCAUAACCCAACUCGUCGUGAGGAAACAGUGUGAAAAGGAGAACCCCUGAUGAGUUAUUUUUGUUUAGAAGGCUGUGUUUUUGUUUUAUUGCUUUCCUAUUUGGUCCACAAUUAUUAGAUGAUGAUCGUUUGAAAAAUGCUAUAAAUUACUGGUAUAAAUUCUCCACACACAACCCGUCUUUUAUUACAACACCAGAGAAGCACCACUUCCACAGCUAUUUCUGCUUUUAUUUAUUCUUUGCCACAUUUCUAGUAAAUUUCUUCAUUAUUGGCAGUGCUUACAUAAUCACAUACUAACACCUACAGGAAUGAAUCACAGCUCAUCUCGCAGAUUUAUGGCAUGCCUACAGAAAAAGCGCCUCCUGAUGCAAGCUUUAAGGCUUAAAUUAUCUCCUAAAAGCCCCACAACAGGCAAGUAAACAGCGUGAUUUAGAGAUCACAAUUAAAAAUGAAUCUGUUUAAACUCAUCUCUCCUUUAUUUAAACACCAAGACAAGAAGGAUUGGGAAACGCUAUUAAU